rnacentral:rRNA from 1 species
UAGCAUAUCAAUAAGCGGAGGAAAAGAAACCACAGGGAUUACCUCAGUAACGGCGAGUGAAGCGGUAACAGCUCAAAUUUGAAAUCUGGCCUCACGGUCCGAGUUGUAAUUUGUAGAGGAUGCUUCGAGCAUGGUCUGGCCUAAGUUCCUUGGAACAGGACGUCAUAGAGGGUGAGAAUCCCGUAUGCGGCCAGGUGCCUACGCUCAUGUGAAGCUCCUUCGACGAGUCGAGUUGUUUGGGAAUGCAGCUCAAAAUGGGUGGUAAAUUUCAUCUAAAGCUAAAUAUUGGCCAGAGACCGAUAGCGCACAAGUAGAGUGAUCGAAAGAUGAAAAGCACUUUGGAAAGAGAGUUAAACAGUACGUGAAAUUGUUGAAAGGGAAGCGCUUGCAACCAGACUUGCGCGCGGCCGAUCAUCCGGUGUUCUCACCGGUGCACUCGGCCGUGCUCAGGCCAGCAUCGGUUUUGGCGGCUGGAUAAAGGCCCUAGGAAUGUAGCUCCUCUCGGGGAGUGUUAUAGCCUAGGGUGCAAUGCAGCCUGCUGGGACCGAGGACCGCGCUUCGGCUAGGAUGCUGGCGUAAUGGUUGUAAGCGGCCCGUCUUGAAACACGGACCAAGGAGUCUAACAUCUAUGCGAGUGUUUGGGUGUCAAACCCAUACGCGUAAUGAAAGUGAACGGAGGUGAGAACCCUUAAGGGUGCAUCAUCGACCGGUCCUGAAGUUUACGGAAGGAUCUGAGUAAGAGCAUAGCUGUUGGGACCCGAAAGAUGGUGAACUAUGCCUGAAUAGGGUGAAGCCAGAGGAAACUCUGGUGGAGGCUCGCAGCGGUUCUGACGUGCAAAUCGAUCGUCAAAUUUGGGUAUAGGGGCGAAAGACUAAUCGAACCAUCUAGUAGCUGGUUCCUGCG